UAGGGAAUCUUCGGCAAUGGACGAAAGUCUGACCGAGCAACGCCGCGUGAGUGAAGAAGGUUUUCGGAUCGUAAAACUCUGUUGUUAGAGAAGAACAAGGACGUUAGUAACUGAACGUCCCCUGACGGUAUCUAACCAGAAAGCCACGGCUAACUACGUGCCAGCAGCCGCGGUAAUACGUAGGUGGCAAGCGUUAAUCGGAAUUACUGGGCGUAAAGCGCACGCAGGCGGUUGAUUGAGUCAGAUGUGAAAUCCCCGGGCUUAACCCGGGAAUUGCAUCUGAUACUGGUCAGCUAGAGUCUUGUAGAGGGGGGUAGAAUUCCAUGUGUAGCGGUGAAAUGCGUAGAGAUGUGGAGGAAUACCGGUGGCGAAGGCGGCCCCCUGGACAAAGACUGACACUCAGGUGCGAAAGCGUGGGGAGCAAACAGG
rnacentral:rRNA from 1 species